UGGGGAAUUUUGCGCAAUGGGGGAAACCCUGACGCAGCAACGCCGCGUGAGUGAUGAAGGCCUUCGGGUCGUAAAGCUCUUUUAGUGGGGAAGAAACCUUUAGGGUGAAUAUCCCUGGAGAAUGACGGUACCCACAGAAAAAGUUCCGGCUAACUACGUGCCAGCAGCCGCGGUAAUACGUAGGGAGCAAGCGUUGUUCGGAAUUAUUGGGCGUAAAGAGCGCGUAGGCGGUUCGGUAAGUCUGGCGUGAAAUCCCGGAGCUCAACUCCGGAACUGCGUCGGAUACUGCCGAGCUUGAGUGUGGGAGAGGUGAGUGGAAUUCCCAGUGUAGAGGUGAAAUUCGUAGAUAUUGGGAGGAACACCCGUGGCGAAGGCGGCUCACUGGACCACAACUGACGCUGAGGCGCGAAAGCUAGGGUAGCAAACGGG
rnacentral:rRNA from 1 species